UCCUGGACUCAGUGACCGUGUCACGAGAAACCUUAGAGCUUCCACUCAUGGGUCCUUCGGAACGCUCACGCCGGGGGAAGCCAGCCGUCACACGAGACGUAUUCCCAAGUAUUCUGGGCCCCCAUGCUGUAGGGAAGCCAAACUAGUCAUGUAGGGGAGGCUGUGGAGAGAGAGAGAUUCUUGACCAGUCCCCCCUCCGCUCAGCCGCCCCACUGGUCCCAGACCGAGAAUCACACAUUCGAACAGAAAAGCGUUCGCAUCUCUCCAGCCCCAGCCGCCUUUGAUGGCUCCUGCUCCAGCAUUCCUAGUUGCAAGCUCCAUAUUUCCCAGUCGAGUCCCUGUCCUGAUGGAACAGCUACUUCCCAAUCCACAUGGAGCCCUGCCUUGCUGAGCUGCCCUCAUCUCCCUUUGGCCUCUCAGUGGCUCUGCACGGCUCACCUUAUGCCCGCUGGAGCCAGAACCCAUGAUGGAGACAGAUGAAGCCACGCUGGAGGUCUUCCAAAGGGGCAAUCCCAGAGAGGUAUGGAAUUUGACCCAAGGCUUGAUUUUCUGAAUGCGGAAGCACACGGCAUGACCAUCAACUUGAAGGAAGCUGGGAGCAGUCAGCUUGACAACCCGAGGUCAGAGGUCAUAUCUGGAAAGGCACAGGCAGAGAGGAAUUCAUGAAGAUUUCUCGCAAGAUCCAAGAAGCUUUUUUAAAAAAGAGAGUCUUUGGGGGCUCGUUUUGGUUAAAUACUACAGUAAGAAAUA